AGCAAAUUAGCAACUGGGACGGAGCAAUCAGUGUUAUUUACUAGUUAAUGACCCUUUUUUGGAUAUGCCUGUAAAUGAUAGAACGACUUUGUAAUGCUUCUAAGAGCAUAGAGUGGCGAUGAAAUGAAUUGAAGCAACACAUCAUACAACCAAACAUGGUCAGAAUUUCGAAGAAGUGCCUGCGAAACUUCAUUUGGAAGUUGGAACACGGAAAACUGCCCCUUUGUCUUGGCAGAAAUGAAUUGUGAAACACCUCAAAAUUCCUUGCGUUCCAAUCGAGCAUUAAUGAAUAAAACGAAAUGUCCUUAUCCGUAG
rnacentral:lncRNA from 1 species